rnacentral:rRNA from 1 species
UACGUAGGGGGCAAGCGUUGUCCGGAAUCAUUGGGCGUAAAGCGCGUGUAGGCGGUUCGGUAAGUCCGCUGUGAAAGUCGGGGGCUCAACCCUCGGAAGCCGGUGGAUACUGUCGAGCUAGAGUACGGAAGAGGCGAGUGGAAUUCCUGGUGUAGCGGUGAAAUGCGCAGAUAUCAGGAGGAACACCAAUGGCGAAGGCAGCUCGCUGGGACGUUACUGACGCUGAGACGCGAAAGCGUGGGGAGCAAACAGG